rnacentral:rRNA from 1 species
AUACAGAGGGUGCAAGCGUUGUUCGGAAUUAUUGGGCGUAAAGCGCAUGUAGGCGGUGACGUAUGUCGGGUGUGAAAGCCCUCGGCUCAACCGAGGAAGUGCGCUCGAAACUGCGUCGCUAGAGUGUCGGAGAAGGUGGCGGAAUUCCCGGUGUAGAGGUGAAAUUCGUAGAUAUCGGGAGGAACACCAGUGGCGAAGGCGGCCACCUGGACGAACACUGACGCUGAGAUGCGAAAGCGUGGGUAGCAAACAGGAUUAGAUACCCUGGUAGUCCACGCCGUAAACGAUGAGAACUAGGUGUGGCGGGAGUUGACCCCUGCCGUGCCGAAGCUAACGCAUUAAGUUCUCCGCCUGGGAAGUACGGCCGCAAGGCUAAA